rnacentral:rRNA from 1 species
UACGUAGGGUGCAAGCGUUAUCCGGAUUCACUGGGCUUAAAGGGUGCGUAGGCGGACAGGUAAGUCAGUGGUGAAAUCUCUGGGCUUAACUCAGAAACUGCCGUUGAUACUAUCUGUCUUGAAUAUUGUUGAGGUAGGCGGAAUAUAUCAUGUAGCGGUGAAAUGCAUAGAUAUGAUAUAGAACACCGAUUGCGAAGGCAGCUUACUAAACAAUUAUUGACGCUGAGGCACGAAAGCGUGGGGAUCAAACAGG